rnacentral:tRNA from 1 species
GCCGGCAGGCAGGCGCACACGCUUCAGAAGCGUGUAUCUGUAUGGAUGUGUGAGUUCGACUCUCACCGUCGGCACCA